CAGCAUGUUCCCAAGAUCUCUGGCUGCUUGUGGCCAAGGGAUCCCCAAAUGCAUGUGAGAGCAACCCAGAGAGACUUUGACAGCCCAGCUCCAGCAGAGUACCUACAGCUGCCACUCGACUUUCCUAUAACA
rnacentral:snoRNA from 1 species